rnacentral:rRNA from 1 species
CGGUACAUCGGUGAUAGGUGGUGCAUGGUUGUCGUCAGCUCGUGUCGUGAGAUGUUGGGUUAAGUCCCGCAACGAGCGCAACCCCUAUUGUUAGUUGCCAUCAUUCAGUUGGGCACUCUAGCGAGACUGCCGGUAAUAAACCGGAGGAAGGUGGGGAUGACGUCAAAUCAUCAUGCCCCUUAUGACCUGGGCUACACACGUGCUACAAUGGUUGGUACAACGAGUUGCGAGUCGGUGACGGCGAGCUAAUCUCUUAAAGCCCAAUCUCAGUUCGGAUUGUAGGCUGCAACUCGCCUACAUGAAGUCGGAAUCGCUAGUAAUCGCGGAUCAGCACGCCGCGGUGAAUACGUUCCCGGGCCUU